CAGAAGAGGGAUACCUUGAGUGAAACUACGAACAUGGAUUCUGGCAUCCAGAUUGAGGGUUUGGAGAAAAUGACUGAGGACAUGUGUGAAGAUGAAGGCAAUAAAAAAAAAAAGCAAUCAAAUUGCUGAAGAAAGAGAUUGAUUCGUUAAAGACCAAAAUAGUGGAAUUGGAAAAGCAAUGUGGUGGUGGAGAUACAAGGUUGCAUCAAGGAACUAAGGAGGAUCUUACAACUAUUCAAGAGAAACACAUAGAUGAGAAGCUGCCAUCUGGGCAAGAUGAUGCACCAAUGAAUUACACCCCAUAUAUUAAGUACACGAAGCUUGAAUUUAAGGUUGACACAUUCUUUGCAGUUGGAUCGCCUCUUGGAGUAUUCCUCGCCCUUCGUAAUAUUCGUAUUGGCAUUGGUAAGAG